rnacentral:misc_RNA from 1 species
ACCAAACAGUUAACCACAGCAAACACACCACAUAAAUAACAAACUUGAGCAGCCCACCAGGUUUUGACACUUAUUUCAUACAGUAAUCUUGAAAUAUUUUUAUUCUUCAAUACUGUUAUACAGAAAAUUUUAGAAACCAUAUAUUAUGUGCUUCGCAAGCUUCAUAGCUUAGUAGCUGUCUGAAGUUAUAUGUCAUAUCUUGAGCCACCCAUUUGAACGCCGGAGAACUUCAAAAAGC